GAUGGAAAGUGAUUGUUGCAGGUGAUGGACGAGCUACCCUAGAUUGGGCGGCUAGACUGAAAGCUCCUGUUGGCUCUGCCAAAGGUUUGGCAUAUCUUCACGAGGAUUGUCAUCCUAAGAUCUUACAUCGCGAUAUCAAGGCAGCUAACAUACUUCUGAACUCUGAAUAUGAGGGAAAGAUUGCAGAUUUUGGACUCGCAAGAUUUAUCUCCAGAUCAAAUCCUCGUGCGUCUAGGCUGGUGGGCACCAUUGGGUAUUUUGCUCCAAAAUCCAUCUUGAGUGGCGAACAAACGGAAAAAUCAGACACUUUCUCUUUUGGGGUCGUCCUCUUGCAAUUGAUUACCGGCCGCAGACCUGUGGGCUCUCAACAGAUCAUUCUGUGAAUGAUGUUUUGGUUAAUUCAACGAGGCCUUAUCUUACACAAGCUCUGGAAGAUGGAAACUUCGACUCUCUUGUUGAUCCUAGGCUGCAGCACAAUUAUAACCCCAGUGAGAUGGCUCGAAUGGUGGCCUGCGCUGCUGCUUGCGUGCGUGAAUCAGCGCAGUGUCGACCAAAAAUGAGUCUGAUUGCUCGAGUCCUUGAAGGGUAUCAAUCUGCUGCUGACCUUGAUGAUGGGAUAGGAGCUGUGAAGCUUUUAGUACUUUUGGCACGUUAAACUUGUUGAAAUUGACAAUUCGCAUCUAUCAAGCACGAGAUGCCUGUUUUAACCAUACAAUACUUUCUUCAGCUUGUACACUUGAUUUUCAUAUCCUUUCUUUUCAUAACUAUGUAAUUGCCCACAUAGAUUUCCUUUCCAAGGACAUCAGUAAAAAAUGCUGAUUUCACAUC